AUUUUUAGUAUUUAAAAUAAUACUUUUUAAAUUUAAAAGGACAUCUAGAGAAAAAUA
rnacentral:tRNA from 1 species